rnacentral:rRNA from 1 species
AGCGAACGCUGGCGGCGUGCCUAACACAUGCAAGUCGAACGUGAAUGUAGCAAUACUAGUAAAGUGGCGUACGGGUGAGUAACACGUAGGUAAUCUACCCUAGAGUCUGGAAUAACCUGCCGAAAGGCGGGCUAAUACUGGAUAGAGCGACGGAAUCCGUAAUUGGGUUUUUCGGGAAAGGGAGCUCGCAAGAGCCCUCGCUUUAGGAUGAGCCUGCGUCCCAUUAGCUAGUUGGUGGGGUAAUGGCCUACCAAGGCAGUGAUGGGUAGCUGGUCUGAGAGGAUGAUCAGCCACACUGGAACUGAAACACGGUCCAGACUCCUACGGGAGGCAG